AGCGAACGCUGGCGGCAGGCUUAACACAUGCAAGUCGAGCGGGCGUAGCAAUACGUCAGCGGCAGACGGGUGAGUAACGCGUGGGAACGUGCCCUUUGGUUCGGAACAACACAGGGAAACUUGUGCUAAUACCGGAUAAGCCCUUACGGGGAAAGAUUUAUCGCCGAAGGAUCGGCCCGCGUCUGAUUAGCUUGUUGGUGAGGUAACGGCUCACCAAGGCUACGAUCAGUAGCUGGUCUGAGAGGAUGAUCAGCCACACUGGGACUGAGACACGGCCCAGACUCCUACGGGAGGCAGCAGUGGGGAAUAUUGGACAAUGGGGGCAACCCUGAUCCAGCCAUGCCGCGUGAGUGAUGAAGGCCCUAGGGUUGUAAAGCUCUUUCGGCGGGGAAGAUAAUGACGGUACCCGCAUAAGAAGCCCCGGCUAACUUCGUGCCAGCAGCCGCCGUAA
rnacentral:rRNA from 1 species